rnacentral:rRNA from 1 species
CCUACGGGGGGCGGCAGUGGGGAAUCUUGCACAAUGCGCGAAAGCGUGAUGCAGCAACGCCGCGUGAGGGAAGACGGCCUUAGGGUUGUAAACCUCUUUCAGUUGGGACGAAGCUUUGCCGGUUAAUAGCCGGUUGGAGUGACGGUACCUUCACAAGAAGCCCCGGCUAACUACGUGCCAGCAGCCGCGGUAAUACGUAGGGGGCUAGCGUUGUCCGGAAUCAUUGGGCGUAAAGCGCGUGUAGGCGGUUCGGUAAGUCCGCUGUGAAAGUCGGGGGCUCAACCCUCGAAUGCCGGUGGAUACUGUCGGGCUAGAGUGCGGAAGAGGCGAGUGGAAUUCCUGGUGUAGCGGUGAAAUGCGCAGAUAUCAGGAGGAACACCAAUUGCGAAGGCAGCUCGCUGGGACGUUACUGACGCUGAGACGCGAAAGCGUGGGGAGCAAACAGGAUUAGAUACCCUGGUAGUCCACGCUGUAAACGAUGGGCACUAGGUGUGGGGGGUGUCGACUCCCUCCGUGCCGAAGCUAACGCAUUAAGUGCCCCGCCUGGGGAGUACGGCCGCAAGGCUAAAACUCAAAGGAAU